UGAGGAAUAUUGGUCAAUGGACGAGAGUCUGAACCAGCCAAGUAGCGUGCAGGAUGACGGCCCUAUGGGUUGUAAACUGCUUUUGUUUGGGAAUAAUCGACAUUACGUGUAAUGUUUUGCAUGUACCAUUCGAAUAAGGACCGGCUAAUUCCGUGCCAGCAGCCGCGGUAAUACGGAAGGUCCAGGCGUUAUCCGGAUUUAUUGGGUUUAAAGGGAGUGUAGGCGGUUGGUUAAGCGUGUUGUGAAAUGUAGAUGCUCAACAUCUGACUUGCAGCGCGAACUGGCUGACUUGAGUACACACAACGUAGGCGGAAUUCAUGGUGUAGCGGUGAAAUGCUUAGAUAUCAUGACGAACUCCGAUUGCGAAGGCAGCUUACGGGAGCGCAACUGACGCUAAAGCUCGAAGGUGCGGGUAUCGAACAGG
rnacentral:rRNA from 1 species